rnacentral:rRNA from 1 species
AAUCAACGCUGGCGGCGUGCCUCAGACAUGCAAGUCGAACGAUUAAAGCUCCCUUCGGGGAGUGCAUAAAGUGGCGCACGGGUGAGUAACACGUAAGUAAUCUACCCUCGGGUGGGGAAUAACAUCGGGAAACCGAUGCUAAUACCGCAUAAUGCAGCGGCACCGCAAGGUGACAGUUGUUAAAGAUUUAUUGCCUGGGGAGGAGCUUGCGGCAGAUUAGCUUGUUGGUAAGGAACGGCUUACCAAGGCUACGAUCUGUAUCCGGUCUAAGAGGACGGUCGGACACACUGACACUGAAUAAC